CCUGAUUGUCAAGGACUCAAGGUUCACGAUAUAGAGAUUGUAGUCCAUUUCAUGGUGCAGAGUUUUUGAAUUUCAGAUGCAUUAAUUGCAUUCGCUACAGCUUCAGUAGUCAAUCAUACAAUAUUUUGAUAGUCUUGCAAUAGAAAGACAUUGUUUAAAGUCUCAGCAUGCCCUUGUUUCUAUUAUAUUCCCUUUUAACAAAUUCUUCUCUGAAUUCUUUUUAAGAAAAGUAGAGCCACCUCAACAAACCUUGCUCACCUUAAUGACCUUUGCACAUAUAAAGUAGGAUACCCAGUUCUGUUAGAAGGCAAAGCAUCUGAUAUCAUUCCUAAUUAUCUGCGGUGGUGAUUUUGGUUAGAAAGAAAUAGUGUUUUUUCAAGGAGUGUAUAUGAACAAAAAUCAAUUAAAGUUGAAGCUCAUUCGUUGCACAUUAUCUUUUUGGUGGCUUAAUUUACUGAUUCGCUUGAUAACAUGAAGGUUCUAUGUAGUUGUGACCUGUUCUUGUGUCAUUCUUUUUGUGCUUCCUUGUAGAGGGUUUCCACCCCAUCGUUGCCCAGAUUAGUAUCUCUCACCCUUAUGUAAACACACACAUCAGCGGGAAACCUCUUUUUGUUGCUCUGGACACUUCGAAGUGAAGCAUGUCUUCAAAUGAGAGGUGUUGGGAAUCUGCUAGAUUAUUUCUUUUGAUGAAGAAUCUGCUGGAUGACAUAUUUGCUUAGUCUGUUUAAAAAGAAAUGAUCUAGAAUCUGUUAGAUGAUUUCUUUUUAAACAGACUAAGCAAAUAUUUCAUUUAUCAUAAUGAAGUAUAUAUUCUGCUAUACCAGAAUGAAUGCAAAAGAUAAAGUGAUCAAAAGGAGAGAAGAAAAGAGGUUCUCGCUCUGUGGCCCCUUUGCGUCGGGGUAAGAUCAGAUUUCACUGCUAUCUGCAAAACUUUUUGCUCAAGUAAGGGCACCACUUGAAGUCUGCUUUGUGAAGAUCUACAUAUUCACGCUAAGAUUAUAAUUUAACUAAAACAGUUUGUGUUAUAUCCUGAUACAAGGAGUGUCCAAGUUAUCCCAUCUAAAUUCAUCUAAUUUGCAGUCACGCUGUUUCACCUUCUGGUGUUAUGCCUUCUAUUAUGUUUUUGUCACUUGAGGAUAUACGUCCAUUAAGAGUUAGGAAAUUUAAUUUUUUUCUUGCUUGGAGGCAUGCUUGUGCAAAUAAAA